rnacentral:ncRNA from 1 species
AUAGAGACCUUGAUCGGGAGGAGUAAAUAUAGUCUUGAUUGUAAGAGAGGGGAUGUUGGUGAGAAUUUCCCAUGACGGAUAUAUUGAAGGUAGCCCGUGAGUCUUUAAGCGAAAUUCUUAAGAGUAGUUUUAAACGGUGUCCCACUGUUAGAAGGGAAUAGUAUCGGAGAAAUCCUGUACUUUACAGAGUGUGUAUUAAUUUAUGAAUAUAGGUGGUACCGCGGAGAUAUAAUCUUCGUCCUAGUA